rfam:Gossypium arboreum cultivar AKA8401 contig_8017_5, whole genome shotgun sequence.
AAAUCAUGGUGAGGGCACCUUCUCAAUAGGUCCUUGUAUCUGUCCCAUGCAUCAUAAAGUGUUUCUAAAUCCAUCUACACAAAAUAAGAAAUAUCAUUCCUUAAUUU